rnacentral:rRNA from 1 species
UGGGGAAUAUUGCACAAUGGGGGAAACCCUGAUGCAGCGACGCCGCGUGGAGGAAGAAGGUCUUCGGAUUGUAAACUCCUGUUGUUGGGGAAGAUAAUGACGGUACCCAACAAGGAAGUGACGGCUAACUACGUGCCAGCAGCCGCGGUAAAACGUAGGUCACAAGCGUUGUCCGGAAUUACUGGGUGUAAAGGGAGCGCAGGCGGGAAGACAAGUUGGAAGUGAAAUCUAUGGGCUCAACCCAUAAACUGCUUUCAAAACUGUUUUUCUUGAGUAGUGCAGAGGUAGGCGGAAUUCCCGGUGUAGCGGUGGAAUGCGUAGAUAUCGGGAGGAACACCAGUGGCGAAGGCGGCCUACUGGGCACCAACUGACGCUGAGGCUCGAAAGUGUGGGUAGCAAACAGGAUUAGAUACCCUGGUAGUCCACACCGUAAACGAUGAUUACUAGGUGUUGGAGGAUUGACCCCUUCAGUGCCGCAGUUAACACAAUAAGUAAUCCACCUGGGGAGUACGACCGCAAGGUUGAAACUCAAAGGAAUUGACGGGGGCCCGCACAAGCAGUGGAGUAUGUGGUUUAAUUCGACGCAACGCGAAGAACCUUACCAAGUCUUGACAUCCCUUGACAGACAUAGAAAUAUGUUUUCUCUUCGGAGCAAGGAGACAGGUGGUGCAUGGUUGUCGUCAGCUCGUGUCGUGAGAUGUUGGGUUAAGUCCCGCAACGAGCGCAACCCUUAUGGUCAGUUACUACGCAAGAGGACUCUGGCCAGACUGCUGUUGACAAAACGGAGGAAGGUGGGGAUGACGUCAAAUCAUCAUGCCCUUUAUGACUUGGGCUACACACGUACUACAAUGGCGUUAAACAAAGAGAAGCAAGACCGCGAGGUGGAGCAAAACUCAGAAACAACGUCCCAGUUCGGACUGCAGGCUGCAACUCGCCUGCACGAAGUCGGAAUUGCUAGUAAUCGUGGAUCAGCAUGCCACGGUGAAUACGUUCCC